UACGUAGGUGGCAAGCGUUGUCCGGAUUUAUUGGGCGUAAAGCGCGCGCAGGCGGUCCUUUAAGACUGAUGUGAAAUCUUGCGGCUCAACCGCAAGCGGUCAUUGGAAACUGGGGGACUUGAGUACAGAAGAGGAAAGCGGAAUUCCACGUGUAGCGGUGAAAUGCGUAGAGAUGUGGAGGAACACCAGUGGCGAAGGCGGCUUUCUGGUCUGUAACUGACGCUGAGGCGCGAAAGCGUGGGGAGCAAACAGG
rnacentral:rRNA from 1 species